GGAGAGGUGUCCGAGUGGUUGAAGGAGCACGCCUGGAAAGUGUGUAUACGGUCAUCCCGUAUCGAGGGUUCGAAUCCCUCUCUCUCCGCCA
rnacentral:tRNA from 1 species